rnacentral:lncRNA from 1 species
UGGAGUCCCUGGAGUGGCUGCGCAGGUCAGUGCCAGCCCACCAUGCGUGUGCGCAGGCGUUCGGUCCAUCAGGAGCCACUGAAUGGAGGGGCGCCCUGCCCACCCCUGGAAGAGAGAGCCGGCUGCCUGGAGUACUCCUCGUCACAAGGCCAGGAUUGCGGGCACUCCUUUGGUACUGGUGUUCUCAUGACUGCUGUCUUUGUUGCUUUUGAUGACUUUAUUGCCACUUCCUGAAAGGUCAUGUGGUGCUCAGAGAAAGUUCCAUGAAGUGCAGAGAAUGAGAUGGACUAAUCUGCCCAAAGUAGAUACGCAGUUCAGGAAAUGCUUGUUAAGGGGAUGGGUAGCCAGCUGCACAAACGCCUCUUUCCUUUGCUUCCCUCAGGGUUUUUGGUUUUCGUGAUUGGUUUUAGGGCAAUGGUCCUUUCAGUUUUGCAUGGACGUAGUAGUAAACACGUGAGAAUAUUACCAGC